rnacentral:ncRNA from 2 species
AAGAAAGAUAUGGGAGAGAGCUUUAAGCCGCCGAAGGGACAAAUCUUAUUCUAGCCCAUGGAAUAAGGUGAAAUUCUCAGGCAAAAGAACCAUAUCCGGACA